GAUAGCUCAGUCAGUAGAGCAUGAGGCUCUUAAUCUCAGGGUUCUGUGUUUGAGCCCCACAUUGAAGGCA
rnacentral:tRNA from 1 species